GAGAAACAAUGCCUGGGACACAGGAGAAGCUGAGCUCCUGAGCAGGACAGAAGGACCUAAAGGAAAGAGCUGGCGAGAGGAAUAUAGGAAAAGCAGAAGAGAAGCGGGGCGCAGGGAGGGAUGAGAGAAGAACUUGAUGUAACCCUUGCAGGAGAACAUCUGCCAGAGCAAAGCUGAAAGUUAAAUAGAAAGAUUCUGAACUUGGCCGUAUGAGCAGCAUACAGAGCUCUUUAAAUCCAGACCUGAAGUCCCCAGUGAGAGCGAGGAGAGAUCCGGAUUACAACAAAGAAUCCCCACAUCCUAAAUUCAGGCAUCUCAGCAUGACAUGUUCUAGGGUAGCAAACCUCUAAAUGCCUGUAGAACUUUAAAAAACAAACAAAUAAACAAACCGAU